CAAUGACAGUUGAAGCUGCCAGCAUGAUCUGUGCUUUCCUUCCUGUGUAUAUACUUUAAUUUCCAGCUGAAUUUAAAUAUAACCAAAAAAAUAAAUAUGUUUGGUCUAAAUUUUGAUCAAACUUAUAUAUAUUUUUGCUUAUGUUUAAGUCUGGGGUGAGUUUAUUUGUGGUAAGAACAGAUCAUGUUGGAGCUUCACCUGUUAAAU
rnacentral:pre_miRNA from 1 species